AGUGAACGCUAGCGACAGGCUAACACAUGCAAGUCGAGGGGCGAGCGGGGAGUGAGGCUUGCUUCAUCCGCCGGCGACCGGCGCACGGUGAGUAACACGUAUGCAACCUGCCCCUGGGCUGGGGGAUAAGCCGGAGAAAUCCGGUCUAAUACCGCGUAACAUCCUUGCGGGACAUCCCCGUUAGGAUCAAAGGAAGCGAUUCCGGCCAGGGAUGGGCAUGCGGCGCAUUAGCUAGUCGGCGGGGUAACGGCCCACCGAGGCGACGAUGCGUAGGGGUUCUGAGAGGAAGGUCCCCCACACUGGUACUGAGACACGGACCAGACUCCUACGGGAGGCAGCAGUGAGGAAUAUUGGUCAAUGGGCGCGAGCCUGAACCAGCCAAGUCGCGUGAGAGAAGACGGUCCUAUGGAUUGUAAACCUCUUUUGCCGGGGAGCAAGCUGUGUCACGUAUGACACAGCUGAGAGUACCCGGAGAAAAAGCAUCGGCUAACUCCGUG
rnacentral:rRNA from 1 species